UAGGGUCGCUGAAGCGUGACCUGCGGAGGGAUCAUUACACAAAUAUGAAGGCGGGCUGGAACCUCUCGGGGUUACAGCCUUGCUGAAUUAUUCACCCUUGUCUUUUGCGUACUUCUUGUUUCCUUGGUGGGUUCGCCCACCACUAGGACAAACAUAAACCUUUUGUAAUUGCAAUCAGCGUCAGUAACAAAUUAAUAAUUACAACUUUCAACAACGGAUCUCUUGGUUCUGGCAUCGAUGAAGAACGCAGCGAAAUGCGAUAAGUAGUGUGAAUUGCAGAAUUCAGUGAAUCAUCGAAUCUUUGAACGCACAUUGCGCCCUUUGGUAUUCCAAAGGGCAUGCCUGUUCGAGCGUCAUUUGUACCCUCAAGCUUUGCUUGGUGUUGGGCGUCUUGUCUCUAGCUUUGCUGGAGACUCGCCUUAAAGUAAUUGGCAGCCGGCCUACUGGUUUCGGAGCGCAGCACAAGUCGCACUCUCUAUCAGCAAAGGUCUAGCAUCCAUUAAGCCUUUUUUUCAACUUUUGACCUCGGAUCAGGUAGGGAUACCCGCUGAACUUA
rnacentral:rRNA from 1 species